rnacentral:piRNA from 1 species
UGAGCAACCAUGCCAAGUCCUUCCC